rnacentral:rRNA from 1 species
UGCAGUCGAACGAGCGAGAGAGAGCUUGCUUUCUCAAGCGAGUGGCGAACGGGUGAGUAACGCGUGAGGAACCUGCCUCAAAGAGGGGGACAACAGUUGGAAACGACUGCUAAUACCGCAUAAGCCCACGACCCGGCAUCGGGUAGGGGGAAAAGGAGCAAUCCGCUUUGAGAUGGCCUCGCGUCCGAUUAGCUAGUUGGUGAGGUAACGGCCCACCAAGGCGACGAUCGGUAGCCGGACUGAGAGGUUGAACGGCCACAUUGGGACUGAGACACGGCCCAGACUCCUACGGGAGGCAGCAGUGGGGAAUAUUGCACAAUGGGGGAAACCCUGAUGCAGCGACGCCGCGUGGAGGAAGAAGGUCUUCGGAUUGUAAACUCCUGUUGUUGAGGAAGAUAAUGACGGUACUCAACAAGGAAGUGACGGCUAACUACGUGCCAGCAGCCGCGGUAAAACGUAGGUCACAAGCGUUGUCCGGAAUUACUGGGUGUAAAGGGAGCGCAGGCGGGAAGACAAGUUGGAAGUGAAAUCCAUGGGCUCAACCCAUGAACUGCUUUCAAAACUGUUUUUCUUGAGUAGUGCAGAGGUAGGCGGAAUUCCCGGUGUAGCGGUGGAAUGCGUAGAUAUCGGGAGGAACACCAGUGGCGAAGGCGGCCUACUGGGCACCAACUGACGCUGAGGCUCGAAAGUGUGGGUAGCAAACAGGAUUAGAUACCCUGGUAGUCCACACCGUAAACGAUGAUUACUAGGUGUUGGAGGAUUGACCCCUUCAGUGCCGCAGUUAACACAAUAAGUAAUCCACCUGGGGAGUACGACCGCAAGGUUGAAACUCAAAGGAAUUGACGGGGGCCCGCA